GCCCUGCUAGCUCAGUGGUAGAGCGUCGCACUCGUACCUCCGUCUCCCCGCCACGAGAGACAACUACGAUGCGAAGGUCAGUCGUUCAAGUCGGCUGUGGGGCA
rnacentral:tRNA from 1 species